CGCAGAAGGCUCUGUGUGGACAGGGUUGGAGCUUCCUCUAGUGCAGAUCUUGGUGGU
rnacentral:rRNA from 1 species